AAUCCUGGCUCAGGACGAACGCUGGCGGCGCGCCUAACACAUGCAAGUCGAACGGAGUCAAGAGGAGCUUGCUUUUCUUGACUUAGUGGCGAACGGGUGAGUAACGCGUGAGUAACCUGCCCUGGAGUGGGGGACAACAGUUGGAAACGACUGCUAAUACCGCAUAAGCCCACGGCCCGGCAUCGGGCUGCGGGAAAAGGNUUUAUUCGCUUCAGGAUGGACUCGCGUCCAAUUAGCUAGUUGGUGAGGUAACGG
rnacentral:rRNA from 1 species